rnacentral:tRNA from 1 species
UGCGGGUGUGCCGGCCGGUGGCGCCGUCGGGGUCGGGGCGGCUGACCUCGUCGGUCUGGGUCUCGCCGGUCGCAUCGGUGGCCCGCACC